rnacentral:rRNA from 1 species
UACGGAGGGAGCUAGCGUUGUUCGGAAUUACUGGGCGUAAAGCGCGCGUAGGCGGCUUUGUAAGUUAGAGGUGAAAGCCCGGGGCUCAACCCCGGAACUGCCUUCGAUACUGCGGGUCUCGAGUCCGGGAGAGGUGAGUGGAAUUCCUAGUUUAGAGGUGAAAUUCGUAGAUAUUAGGAAGAACACCAGUGGCGAAGGCGGCUCACUGGCCCGGUACUGACGCUGAGGCACGAAAGCGUGGGGAGCAAACAGG